rnacentral:rRNA from 1 species
UACGUAGGGGGCGAGCGUUGUCCGAAGUUACUGGGCGUAAAGAGCGCGUAGGCGGGUCUUUAAGUGAGGGGUGAAAGGUUAGGGCUCAACCCUAACACUGCCUUUCAUACUGGGGACCUUGAGUGCGGGAGAGGCGAGUGGAAUGGUCGGUGUAGCGGUGAAAUGCGUAGAUAUCGGAAGGAACACCUGUGGCGAAAGCGGCUCACUGGACCAUUACUGACGCUGAGGCACGAAAGCUAGGGGAGCAAACAGG